UGAAGAAAUACUCUGCUUCAGAGGAGGCUCUUCUGAGGCUGCUGCCAGUGGUCAAAGCCUCCAACAAAGCCAUACUGAGUGGCUGUUUCCUCUCUAAGAGAAGCUGUGAAGCUUUGUCCUCAAUUCUGAGCUCCCAGUCCUGUAGUCUGACAGAGUUAGACCUGAGUAACAACAAUCUGCAGGAUUCGGGAGUGAAGCUUCUUAAUGCUGCUCUGCAGAGUCCACAUUGUACACUAGAAAGUCUGAGACUGAAUUGCUGUAACCUCUCAGGGAAAAGCUGUGAAGCUCUUUCCUUAGUUCUAAGCUGCCCGUCCUCCUGUCUAAGAGAGCUGGACCUGAGUGACAAUGACCUUCAGGAUUCAGGAGCCAAAUAUAUUUCUGCAGAACUGCAGAGUCUGCAUUGUACUCUGAAAACUCUGAGGUCAGUGUUUAGUCCUUUUCACUCCAUAUAAUUUGUAAUUUGUAUCAUAUUCUUACUUAAAAAGCUAAGUCUUAUACAAUUUUAGACUCUGAAUUGCUGUUUAUAAAUAUUUUUGUAAAAGUUUGUAAAAAUUAGUCUUGGAGGUUUUUUUUUUCCAGAUUAUGUCCUUUAAUGAGCAUACUAAAGAUUAAUAUACUACUAACUUCCUGUGAUUAGUUUUAUUACAAUUUAAAACAUCUUAGCCUAUAAUAGCCUUGGAAAAACCUGAAUCACACACUUACUAUUUUUAAUAAUAAUAAUGAUUACUUUAUUUAUGCCCGUG